rnacentral:misc_RNA from 1 species
ACCAACGUCACUCUCCACCGACAUCGCCGCCGCAUCAGCUGCUGUGCGCCUGCGUGGUGAGGCCGUAGCCGAAGGGGAAGAGCGGGUCGUAGUGCGCGUCGCCGACGUUCAUCGGCAGCUGGUCCACGGACUUGAACCACGUCCGCGACAGCUUCCCGGUGAACCCGUAGUCGCCGAACAGCACGUCGGCCACGCCCUGCCCCUCCGUCCCCGGCAGCCACGCCGCCACGAACGCGUCGAUGCCGCCGAUGUACGGCUCCACCACCAGCGGCCGCCCGGAGAUGAGCACCACGACGCACUUGAUGCUCUUGCACACCGUCUGGAUCACCGUCG